CCCUUAGAUGUUCUGGGCCGCACACGCGCUACACUGAAGGAGGCAGCGUGUACUCCUGGAUCGAAAGAUUUGGGUAACCCGCGAAUCUCCUUCGUGCUAGGGAUUGAGGUUUGCAAUUAUCCUUCAUGAACGAGGAAUUCCCAGUAAGUGCAAGUCAUAAGCUUGCGCUGACUACGUCCCUGCCCUUUGUACACACCGCCCGUCGCUACUACCGAUUGAAUGAUUUAGUGAGGACUUCGGACUGGGACCGAUGCGGCUUUCGGGCUGCGUCGGUCUUCUGGAAAGAUGUCCAAACUGUAUCAUUUAGAGGAAGUAAAAGUCGUAACA
rnacentral:rRNA from 1 species